rnacentral:rRNA from 1 species
UACGUAGGGGGCAAGCGUUGUCCGGAAUCAUUGGGCGUAAAGAGCGUGUAGGCGGCCCGGUAAGUCCGCUGUGAAAGUCGGGGGCUCAACCCUCGGAUGCCGGUGGAUACUGUCGGGCUCGAGUACGGAAGAGGCGAGUGGAAUUCCUGGUGUAGCGGUGAAAUGCGCAGAUAUCAGGAGGAACACCAAUGGCGAAGGCGGCUCUCUGGGACGGUACUGACGCUGAGGUGCGAAAGCGUGGGGAGCAAACAGG